rnacentral:rRNA from 1 species
GAUGAACGCUGGCGGCGUGCCUAAUACAUGCAAGUCGAGCGAACGGACGAGAAGCUUGCUUUUCUGAUGUUAGCGGCGGACGGGUGAGUAACACGUGGAUAACCUACCUAUAAGACUGGGAUAACUUCGGGAAACCGGAGCUAAUACCGGAUAAUAUUUUGAACCGCAUGGUUCAAAAGUGAAAGACGGUCUUGCUGUCACUUAUAGAUGGAUCCGCGCUGCAUUAGCUAGUUGGUAAGGUAACGGCUUACCAAGGCAACGAUGCAUAGCCGACCUGAGAGGGUGAUCGGCCACACUGGAACUGAGACACGGUCCAGACUCCUACGGGAGGCAGCAGUAGGGAAGCUUCCGCAAAGGGCGAAAGCCUGACGGAGCAACGCCGCGUGAGUGAUGAAGGUCUUCGGAUCGUAAAACUCUGUUAUUAGGGAAGAACAUAUGUGUAAGUAACUGUGCACAUCUUGACGGUACCUAAUCAGAAAGCCACGGCUAACUACGUG